GAGUUCCUUUCGAGUGUUAGGGCUCACAGAGGGAGGCAAUGACCGAGACCUUUGAGAUAUUGUGCUUGAAAAGAAGACCUAUCAAGCAAAGCAAAGUCACAGUUGUGGCAGACACCAGUGUCAUGCAAAUGGCACUUGUGCCAGUGGUACAUAAAAGCACCCAUUACACUCUCGGAGUGGUUGGCAUUAGGAAGGGCAUCCAGCUGUAGAAACAUUGCCAGAUCAGACUGGAG